AUUGAACGCUGGCGGCAGGCUUAACACAUGCAAGUCGAGCGAGCGGCGGACGGGUGAGUAACACGUGAUAACCUCCCUAUAAGACUGGGAUAACUUCGGGAAACGGUAGCUAAUACCGCAUACCUUCAGAUUUGCCAAGAUGGGAUACGCUUUGAGGUGGGGUAAUGGCUCACUUAGGCGACGAUCCCUAGCUGUUCUGAGAGGAUGACCAGCCACACUGGAACUGAGACACGGUCCAGACUCCUACGGGAGGCAGCAGUGGGGAAUAUUGCACAAUGGGCGCAAGCCUGAUGCAGCCAUGCCGCGUGUGUGAAGAAGGCCUUCGGGUUGUAAAGCACUUUCAGCGAGGAGGCGUUACUCGCAGAAGAAGCACCGGCUAACUCCGUGCCAGCAGCCGCGGUAAUUC
rnacentral:rRNA from 1 species